GAUGAAGAACGUAGCGAAAUGCGAUAAGUAGUGUGAAUUGCAGAAUUCAGUGAAUCAUCGAAUCUUUGAACGCACAUUGCGCCCCUUGGUAUUCCAUGGGGCAUGCCUGUUCGAGCGUCAUUUGUACCUUCAAGCUCUGCUUGGUGUUGGGUGUUUGUCUCGCCUCUGCGUGUAGACUCGCCUCAAAACAAUUGGCAGCCGGCGUAUUGAUUUCGGAGCGCAGUACAUCUCGCGCUUUGCACUCAUAACGACGACGUCCAAAAGUACAUUUUACACUCUUGACCUCGGAUCAGGUAGGGAUACCCGCUGAACUUAAGCAUAUCAAUAAGCGGAGGA
rnacentral:misc_RNA from 1 species